rnacentral:lncRNA from 12 species
GCUCUGGAAGGAGGAAAGACAUGAGUUUGCCAGGCUGUCCCCACGCAUCAGGAGGACGGCUGCACGGCGUCUCAGGCUCCGCGAGCAGGACAGCACCCACCGCGGACACAGGCAACCAAGGAGCCACAGGAGCCUGCCUUGCCGUGGCUUUCGAUCCGCUUCUCAAGGCCCUCCAGUGCCCGGUGGACUGGCCCUCGGCCUGGCGGGGAUUCAGAGGCCGGGCCAGCCGGAGCCCACUCAUCCACUCGUGAAUAGCUGCUGUUUCCUGAGUGCGUCCUGCAUGACAGCCUCCCACGGACCCUCCAGAGCCACAGCGGCACCCUCGCCCCAUUCCACAGAUGGCGAACUGAGGCUCAUAGAGGCCGUGGGAAGAACAUGACCACAGACUCAAGCCUGGGAGUGGACGAGCCUCAGAAUCAGCGGAAUCAGGUAACCCUGAGAAGGAACAGACCUGGCUCCUACCGCCGUGGGUCUGCCCCUGCUCCCAGACCCGUCCAUCUGUGAUGGGCCCAUCUGUGAAAUGGGGACAGUCAUGCUCGCCGUGCUGCACUGGUGUGGGAACAACAGGUAGCCUAUGCUGAGACCUAAGGUAUAGCACGUGAUCAAGAAACGAGCCACCCCGAAGAGCACAGAUGGUGGCCUCCACGUGUCAGGGGGUCGGAGGGAACGGGUUUUGGGAGAAAAGAGGAGGAAGCCCUGGGGGUCCUGGGUGAGCGGGGGGCGCUGCUCAGGCCUGGCAGAUCUCAGAGCACCACACUCCUCGAGGCAGCACGUGGACUCCGCUGUCCCAGGACAACCCCACGCUGUCCACAGCAUCACGUGCCACCAAGAGGGGUACCUGCAGGCAUCACUCCCCUGUCUGUGAAGUGGGGCUCUCAGGAGAGGUUGGGGGACUGCUCUGUAAACCCCUUUAAUGGAGUGUGGGAUGCGGAGAGCCUCAGGGGAAGACCAGCACAGCCCUGCCAGCUGCGGUCUCCUCAUGUCCCCAGACCUGAGCAGUGCCCUACGUGGACAGGGGCAAAACCCAGGACCCAGGCCAUAGCCUUUCCUGAGAGAGGAGAGCACAGGAGUCUUGGCUUGCCAUUCGGGAUUGCUGGUGGUGGAGGCGGCUUCCGGGACACCCACGGGCAACAGAGACCAGCGAUGAGGAGCUCCUCGGUGCAGACCAGUUUUGGAGCUGUGUGUGGUGGCAGUUCCCUGCGGACCCAGCAUGGUUGCCAGGAUCAGCCCAGGAUCAGCCCAGGAUCAGCAGCCCAAGAUGGAGAAACAUCCAUCUUCCCCCAAAGCUGGUGGCUUCAGAGCCUGGGCCAGGCGGCAAUUCAUCGGGAGCACCAGCAUGACCCCUACUCCUCCUCAGGGCAUCUCUGUACUUCCUGCUGUGGCUGCCACCUUCCAAGGAGAUGA